CUACAAAGCUUAUAUCAGCAUUUAUACUCUUUCUAGGACAGGUAACGGGCACAUGAAGAGACAGCGGAAGCAGUUCUGGGCCAACCAAAAAAGAUCUCAACCCAGGAGGUGCCUGGGUCUGUGACUUUGGUUUUUGAAAACCUAACACCUGGCACAAGGAAAUUCCUUAACAAUCUCACCACAUCUGUGUCCAGACAUUGCUGAU
rnacentral:lncRNA from 1 species